UUUCACGUCACUGUACGGCAGCGGAAACCGAACAGAUGUUUGUUUACAGAUUGGAAGUCGUAUUGUCGCUACGUAUCAAUUCGUAUAUAUAAUUCGAUGUUACUUUUUUAAUAAAAAUAUCGACAAGUUCAUGAUAGUUUGAACCGAUACAGCCACUACAAAGUCUCAGAGACAUUUCAAGAUUUCUCUCCUCAGUCAUGGAUUAAAGAACAGAAAUUCACUACGUAAUUGCCACAAUAGUCGGGGCUUUCCCGAGUCUUGCUGUGCUAUACUCUCCUGUUUGAACAGAUAUUUGGCCAUAA